GCCGGGCAUGGUGGUGCACACCUGUAAUCCCAGCAGCUGGGGAGGCCGAGGCAGGAGGAUCGUGAGUUCAAAGCCAGCCUCAG
rnacentral:sRNA from 1 species